UGUCGACAGGAAGCUGAAGAACCUGAAGAGGGAGAUAUGUUGUCUAUCGACUGUGAGGACAACAGCCCAACUACGUCCAAGAAAGAAGCUGGCACAGUGAGGGAGGAUGAGAGUGAGACAACUGUUUUAUCCUCCAAGAAAUCUCCACGCACUAAAAAUAAAAUGUCACCGAAGAGAAAAUGGAACCUCAGGGAAAGGAGGUCCAAAAAGUUCAAGAUGUCCCCGUAGCUCAAAACCAGAGUGGCCAAAAAUGCAAAGUCGAGGGAAGACAAACUAAAAAUACAAAAAAAUGGCUUUUUAAAAAAAUAACUGCCCCUACAUAUUUAGUAUUUUAAGGAU